rnacentral:lncRNA from 1 species
UUUUUUUUUUUUAACUUUUUAGAGCCACACCUGAGGCAUAUGGAAGUUCCCAGGCUAGGGGUUGAAUUGGAGCUACAGCUGCCAGCCUACACCACAGCCACAGCAACACAAGAUCCAAGCUGUGUCUGUAACCUAUAUACCACAGCUCACAGCAACGCCAGAUCCUUAACCCACUGAGCAAGGCCAGGGAUAGAACCCUCAUCCUCAUGGAUGCUAGUCAGGCUCAUUUCCGCUGAGCCACAACGGGGGGAUUCCUUUUUUUUUCUUUUUAUGGCAGCACCUGCAGCACAUGGAAGUUCCCGAGCUAGGGGUCAGAUCAGAGCUGCAGCUGCUGGUUUAUGCCACAGCCACCGCACCAGGAUCUGAGCUGCAUCUGCAACCUAUGCCACAGCUCACAGCAGUGCCGGAUCCUUAACCCACUGAUCAAACCCAAAUCCUCACAGAGACAACAUCAGGUCCUUAACCAGCUGAGCUACAACAGGAACUAUGAAAUAAAAAGAUUUGUAAAGCAAUAAUGAUUACCAUAAAAUUAAAACUAAGAGUUACCUUUUGGAAACCUCCUACACUGUUGGUGGGAAGGUAUAUUGGUAUAACCACUAUGGAAAAAUGUAUCACGUUUCCUCAGAAAACUGAAUAAAGAACUACCAUGAGAUCUAGCAAUCCCACUCCUGGGCAUAUAUCCAGCCAAAACUAUAAUUCAAAAAGGUACAUGCACCCCUGUGUUCAUGGCAGCACUACUCACAACAGUCAAGACAUGGAAACCACCUAAACUCCAUCCACAGAUGAAUGGAUUAAGAAUAUGUAGUACACAUAUACAGUGGAAUACAACGCUGCCAUAAAAAAGAAUGAAAUAAUGAAGCAACAUGGAUGCAACUGGAGAGUCUCACACUCAGUGAAGUCAGUCAGAAAUACAAAUACCAUAUGAUAUCACUUAUGGAUGGAAUCUAAAAUUUGGCACAAAUGAACCUAUCUACGGAAUAGAAAUAGACUCACACACGGAGAACACACUUGUGGUUGCCAAGGGGAAGGGGAGAGGGAGUGGGAUGGACGGGGAAUUUGGGGUUGGUAGAUGCAAACUUGUACCUUUAGAAUAGAUAGGCAAUGAGGUCCUGCUGUACAGCACAGGGAACUAUUAUAUCCAGUGACCUGGGAUAGACCAUGACGGAAGAUAACAUAAGAAAGGGAAGGUAUAUGUAUAUAUGAUUGGGUCACUUUGCUGCACAGCAGAAAUUGGCAUAACACUGUAAAUCAACUAUACACCAAUAAAAAAUUAAAAAUUGUAAAAAUUUUAAAAAGAGUUACCUUUUAGAGAAGUUGCCUGGAGAAGAGUUCAGUUCCUUGCAGGCAUGUUUACUUUAAACUGGAAAGGGAGUUCCCGUCGUGGUGCAACCAUACGACCGCACAUUAUCCUGCUCCCAGGACAAUUCCUCGUUAAUAUCCUGCACAUCAGCGCAUGCUCAGAGGAGGGCCACUCUUAAUCCCACGCUUGAUCCUCCCCAGCCCCAAGAUGGGUACUCAGGUUGUCCAAAGUGUCUCGUCACUGCGCACCAGGCUGUCACCUGCCUCCUUGCACACGGCCCUGUACACCCAGUGAGGCUUUCCAGAGACUCGGUCUCCCCAGGGUCAGAAAGCCGUUCUCAAGUAUUCAUCCAUAUGGGACUUUUCUGCUCUGUUACUUUCUUGUUUGUUUAAUAUGCUUUAUUGGGGUGAAAUAUAUAUGUGUGUGUAUAUAUAUAUAUGUAAAACAUUUGCCAUUUUGACCAUUUUUAGUGUACUAUUCAGUGGCACUGCUACAUGCACAAUGCUAUGCAACCAUCACCACUUUGCAUCUCCAACAUUUUUUUUUUCUUGCUUUUUAGGGCCAUACUUGCAGCAUAUGGAGGUUCCCAGGCUAGGGGUCGAAUCGGAGUAACAGCUGCCGGCCUACACCACAGCCACAGCAAUGCAGGAUCCAAGUCACCUCUGCAACCUACACCACAGCUCACAGCAACACCAGAUCUUAACCCACUGAGCGAGGCCAGGGGUUGAACUCGCAACCUCAGCGUUCCUAGUUGGAUUCAUUUCUGCUGUGCCACAACGGGAACUCUUCCAUCUCCAAAAUUUUAUCCCCCCAAAGUAAACUCUGUACCCAUGAGCUAAAGCGAAUCCCCUCCCUUCCCUGUAGCCCUGGUAACCUUGAGUCCAGUCCACCUUCUGUCUCUAGGAACUUGCCUGUUGUAGAUAUUUCGUAAGAGUGGAACACAAAGGGUAAACAUGUGUGAACCCUGCUGCGUUAUAUCCCCACCUCUGGACGCUCUCCCCAUCGACUGGGCAGAGCAGCAGAAAACACCGGGGGACAUUCUGGCUUUAGGUCUAGUAGGGAAGAGGGGAAAGAGAGCCUAGCGCAGGAGCUUUUCUUCCCACACCCAGGGAAUUAACACAAGAAAAGCAAUCUGAACUAGAAGGCGGAGAGGAUCAGGGAGCGGAGGUGGAAGUUAGAAGCAGAUGACGCCCUCCAGGAAGAGGCACAUGUGUUAUCGCUGCUCAGGGUCCUUGCAAAGUCUGAGACGGGUGGAAGAGAAGAAUGGUGGAACCUCCCGUGAGAUCGGGGAUCUGAAAACAAAGGCAGGCAACCUGUGCCCCAUUUGCUGUCUGCAAUUCUCAGUCCUGCCAGCAGAGACGGCAGAGGGAGAUAAAUAUCAUCCUGUGUGUCAGCCUAAGGGUACGACGUUUCGCGGCUCUGGUGUAGCACGGAAGAACCAUCCAGGAUCUCUGUGCCUCUGAGAACAGAGAUGUCAGCUGGGACACAGGAAGGGGUCCCAGUGCCACAGACAAACCCAGCACUGUCCCGCAGACACCAUGAGGGGGCAAGGGGGUGGGGUGACGACCCAGUAGAAAUUUACUACAGAAGCACCCACCACUCCCAAAUACAGUGCCUCCCAAGAAAGAAGGGGGUGAGAAAAGAAAUUUUAUUUUAUUUUAAUUUAGGGCCACACCUGCAGCAUACGGAAGUUCCUGGGUUAGAGGUCAAAUCAGAGCUGCAGCUGCCGGUCUAUGCCAGAGCCACAGCCACAGCCACAUAGGAUCUGAGCCAUGUCUGCGACCUACACCACAGCUCACGGCAACGCCGUAUCCUUUAACCCACUGAGCAAAGCCAGGGAUCGAAGCUGAUUUUUCAUGGGUUCUAGUCAGGCUCCUAACCUCUGAGUCACAAUGGGAACUCCUGAGAAAAGAAAUUAUAAUUGGCUGAGGGCCCCCUGGAGUGGUGAGUUUAUCUUGAAUUAACUGGAAAUAAUUUUCUGCCAAAUUGGUUAAUUUCCUGCCUAAUUGGAAGGGAGGAUCCGGUAUUAAGACAAAAACCAAAUUCAAUCACAGAAUAACAGAAACUUGCAUUUUUUUUGCCCAGCUGAGUUUUGAGGACUAAGAAGCCCAAAGCCACCACUCAUAUUCUAUAUCUCAGUGGCAUUUCUGAAUUUUUCUCCCCAAGCACUGUGACCAUCUGUGCUCCCCUCGUGAACACAGAAGUGUGACAUUUCCCAGGGCCAUGCCAACCUCCACUGCCAAUCAGUCAGUUACACAUACCAGUCCAUGACACGGUAGAUUCUGUCCACACCAGCUCCUGGUGCAGAAACGGAAAGAGAAAAAUCUAACCAAUGUUAAUGGAUUUGGAACAGCACGUUUCUGACUGGGAAAAUAUCACGGCUCAAGGAGAGGUGUUGUUCCUUUGAGCAUCGGGAACAUUGUGACCAAGGCAACAUCCACAUGGAGAUGAUUUUACCAGAAGGUGGAUGGGAGGGGUCAUUGGGGGAUGGUCUACAAGGCUCACCAAGGACCGAACCCGGGAGACGCGCCACAUGCACAGCAGCCGGGCUCUCAGCAGCCUCCUCUCCCGCAGACCCUUUUCUCUCCUAAGGACCAUCACCGUCUAUCAGGACACCUCCCUGGGCACCCACCCUAGGUCCUCGGCCAUCAGUCUAAAUGUUUACCUCUCUUUGCACCAAUGCGCAGAUUCUCAGGGCUAGAGGAAGGCUCACAGUUAGGCAAGUUCAACAAUGUAACAAUGCUUAAAAUCCCCUGUGGCUGUAUCAGCGAUGGAGGCGUCUUUCCUUCCCAAAGUCAAGGUCUUUUCCUGGUGAUUCCCCCAACCCAGGCCACCUGGCUUGGAAUCCCAGCUGCGUGACCUCAGGCAAGUCACUUCCACCUCCCAAUACCAUCACCUUUAGGGUUUAGGAUUCCAGCAUGAAUUUGGGGGGGACACAAACAUUCAGACCAUAGCAGGUCACAUUCACAAAUUCCAGGCAGAUAUAUUGUUUGAGGCUCCAUCAUUCAAUCAAAAUACACCCCCUAAGCUCUUAUUCUGCCAAUAGAAUAGCCUUUGUCUUCCUGCCAUUCUUCAAGCGGCAAAGUGUUAAGCGCAUUCUAAUCCUAUUGGUACUGGGAUGGUCCACCUAAUUGUCCUGAAUUCCAGUAGAUUUAUUCUCUUCACUUUUUCUCUCCCCGCCUCCUUCCUUUCCCCUUUUUCUCUUCUACAUCUUAGCCUUCUAGAUACAGUUCUCCAGUCUCCACGUCUCUCUCCCGUCCCCCAUAAUAAUCAGGAUGUUCGUUACAAAUGUUGCAUCUUUGGGGCUACAGGCAGAGGAAGUGGUGAUGUUAGUGAAAAAAUGCAGAAGAAAGAGUUUAACCCACAAGCACAGAGGCCCCUCCCCCAAAUGCACAGUGUGUGUGCUGUAGUUGGUGCACAUACAUGCGCACAUACAGGGCACGUGUGCACACACACAUGCUGUAACAAGCCUGCGUGUGCACAUAUGCCAUGUGGCCAGGAUACAUGCUUGGCACGUGAGUGCGCACACACACACAUGCAAGAUGCAUAUGUGCGUGUGUGCUGUAACAUUUGCACACACGUGUGGACAUUAUACAUGCUAUAGCAUUGCACAUGCAUGCACAAACAGGCCAGGGCACAUUUGCACACAUGCGUGCUACAGCACAUGCAUGUCUGCGCACACAUGUACCAUGUGUAAAUGGUAUGUGCCAUACCAGCACACACACACACACACACGCACACACACACGCUAUGUGGACUCUGGCGUUCCAUGGUCCAGACCCAGUCAAGCCAGAAGAUGUGGGCCAAACAGCAGCCACGCCAGGCCUCUCUCAAGCCAGUCCUCCCUCCCAGUGGCCUCAGGAAACAAAGACAGUUUAACAAGAACUCCCCAGCUAAGCGGUUUUUUUAAGACCUUCAGCCAGCAGCCGCCUGGCUGAGCUGAACGUCUCACUUUAUUAGUGAGUUUGGCCUUGGGUGUCUGGCUGUUUGAUCAAUCCUGCCAGGGGUCAGUGAUAUUUCCUCCCGGCCCCCGCCCCCACCCCGCGUCCCUGCGCACCUGAUGAACAGCGGUGCCCCUGGACCGCUGAUCACCUAUUGAUUUUCCAGCUGGAGGCGGCAUCCGCCGCCAGCUGCCAUCUCCAGCCCUGUCACUGGGACCGUUUGGUGACUAACGCAUCCCCGGGGCCCCUCCCAACCCCCCCUCACUUCCGACCCAGCUCCCUUCCCCAAUGGCCCAUACUGCCCAGGCUCGCUUUGUCUGUGUCCGGGCCCUGCCCUGUCUCUCGGGGCUCAGUGCUGGGACCACGGACACCAAAGUCAAGGUCUUUUCCCUGUGAUUCCCCCCAACCCGGGCCCCCUGGCUUGGAAUCCCAGCUGCAUGACCUCGGGCAAGUUUCCUCAUUUGUAGAGCUGGGGCUGGUCAGGACCUACCCAUCAUGUGUAUAAGCCCGCAGUUUACAAAGUAUGUCCUGUGAAUCUCUGGGGGGAGGGGUCCCCAAGACCCUUCCAGAAUGUCCACAAUAGUUAAAAUUAUGUUCAUAAUGAUACGAAGAUGUUACUUAUUUUUUCUCUCUCAAUUAAAGAAUUUUUUUUUACUCUCAGUGAAGUGUUCCAGAGACUGCAUGACACGUGAUGGUUCCAAACCUUGAAGGCAGACGCAGCUAUAAAAACUCAGCUGUUUUCUAUUAAACCUGACACUAUAGAGAUUUGCAAAAAUGUAAAACAAGGCCACGCUUCCUUCUCCCUAAAUUGUGUUGGUAAAUAUGGUUACUUUUCAUAAAAUAUUUAUGUUAGCAUGUAAUGUGUUGAUUAUGGCAAUUUUAAAUAAACUAUGAACAAAUAUUAUUACACUUCCUCAAUUGCAACUCCUUGAAUGGUAAAUAGUGACAGAUACAGCCCAUGUUAACAAGAACUCUGAGAUCCUCGAAAGUUUGUUUGUUUUUUGUCUUUUUGUCUUUUUAAGACCACAUCCGUCACAUAUGGAGGUUCCCAGGCUAGGGACUGAAUCGGAGCUGCAGCUGCCAGCCUAUGCCACAGACACAGCAAAGCAGGAUCUGAGCCACAUCUGCAACCUACACCUCAGCUCACGCCAAUGCCGGAUCCUUAACCCACUGAGCGAGGCCAAGGAUCAAACCUGCGUCCGCAUGGAUACUAGUCGGGUUUGUUACCACUGAGCCACAAUGGGAACUCUCAGUUCUUAAGGCCAAAAACUUUGAGAACUGCUGAAACAAGAUGCCAGCACAGGAGUUCCAUGGUGGCUCAAAGGGUUAAGGAUCUGGCAUUGUCACUGCUGUGACCCAGGUCACUGCUGUAGUGUGGGUUUGAUCCCUGGCCGGGGAUCUUCCACAUGCCGCGGGUGCUGCCAAGAAAAAGAUGCCAGCACAGUGCCUGGUCACUACAUGACUAUGGUGAAGAUUAUGAGUAGUUAUCACGGGCAGUAAUUAUCAAUGCAUCACCUCUCCACUGGAACUGGGGAGUCUCAGGGGAGUGGGGUGGGGAGGGGGAGCUCGCUGGAGACGCUGAUUAGCGAUUUAGUGCCUGCAGCCCAGUGAUAAAGGUGGGCUCUCUUCUGGCUCCAAGAGUCCCCCAUCCUCCCCUGGCACUCAGUUUGGGGAGCCCCACUGCCAAGGGAAGAAAAUGGCUGGCUGACCCAUGACCAGGCUCCUGGCACUGGCCACACCUCAUGCAGCAGCAGUGCUCAGCGCCACCAAGAAGGUGGCAGUUGCUGCCAACAGGGCCGAGUGUAGUAAUAAUAACAGCUCCUCCUUGCUCAGCAUCCCCAUGUGUCAGCCCCUGUCAUAAGCAUUUUAGGAAAGUUAAGUCAUCUGACUCCUGCCACAAUCUUAUGUGAUUGUUUUAAAAUGUGCCUGGGAUUUUGAUG